AACGCCGAAGUUAUCAAAUGAUUGCGUAUCCCCGGCGGGGGUCACAACGCACAUCUAUCAAGCAUCCACGUAUCCACGGUCGGGUCACAACGCACAUCUUUCAAGCAUCUACGUAUCCCCGGCGGGGGUUACAACGCAAUGAAACCAUUGAUACACACAUCAAUGAAGGUCAAGCAACCUUGACGUCAUGUCAGCUGAUAGCAAGUAAACCCAUCGAAGCAGUUCAUCCAAGUAUCCCCGACGGGGGUUACAACGCAAUGCGACCAUUGACACAUACAUCAACGAAGGUCAGGCAACCCUGACAGCGACAGACUGUUGGCAGUAACUCCGACAGAAUGAGGAAAUAUGUUAUACACAUCCUCAAAUAGACAGAGCUUUAUCCUCAUAGAUCUCUUAUACACAAGAGGCACCUCUAUGGAAUAUAAGCCAGUGUCUAGGAUUCAAGACUUUGGUGAUAGCCCCAACGUCAACAUCCUUGAAGACUUUGAUCGCAUGUCCAAGCC
rnacentral:lncRNA from 1 species